GGGUGUAACUCAGUGGUAGAGCAUCUGCCUAGCAUACACAAGGCUCAGGGUUCCAUCCCCAGAAUCACACA
rnacentral:tRNA from 1 species